rnacentral:rRNA from 1 species
UACAGAGGGUGCAAGCGUUGUUCGGAAUUACUGGGCGUAAAGCGUGCGUAGUCGGUAUUGAGAGUCGCGGGUGAAAUCCCUGGGCUUAACCCAGGAACUGCCUGCGAGACCUCAGUACUAGAGUGUGAGAGGGAUAGUGGAAUACCCAGUGUAGCGGUGAAAUGCGUAGAGAUUGGGUGGAACACCGGUGGCGAAGGCGGCUAUCUGGCUCACAACUGACGAUCAGGCACGGAAAAGCGAUGGGGGAGCAAACAGGG